rnacentral:misc_RNA from 1 species
AGUCGUAACAAGGUUUCCGUAGGUGAACCUGCGGAAGGAUCAUUAAUAACGCCCGUUUGCUGUUCGCAAGAUUUAAAUGGGUUCAAUACCCAAACCGUGUCUAACCUACCUUUGUUGCUUUGGCAGGCCGCCUUCGGGCGUCGGCUUCGGCUGAUUAGCGCCUGCCAGAGGCCCAAACUCUGUGUUUAGUGAUGUCUGAGUACCAUAAAUAUUUAAA